GCAGUUGUAAUUUGUGUGCGGGUUGUACAGAGGCUCGUCGGCCUUUCGUCCGACUUACUGGUCGGGGUGACCCGACUCCCUGUGAGUUUGACAUUCAAUUCUCAUGUGUGCCCUCUCAUUGACUUGUGUAUCUACCUGGAUUGGGUUUAUUAUCUCUUGGCUUUCCUCUGGAGGGGGGAAGGGAAAGUUAGGGUUGGGGUAGGAAGGGGUGUGAGGGUAGUCAGUCGUCGCCUGUCGUCAGGUGUGUGUUCCCUAAGUCCUUCCUGUCUGUGGUGUGGCAGUUGCCGAUUCUAGUUCCCUUUGGAAUCCUUCUUUCGCCGUCUCUAGGAUCCAAUGUGUCCAUAUGUCCAUGUAGGCUGUCGGGGAAGUGUUAGUCGUCAGGGUCAGUUCCUCUAUUGUCCUCAGUUCCUCCAUUUGGCUAAACCAGAUCUUAAGUGGAGGUGUUAUGGCCUGUUUCCAGAAUUGGGGGAGCACUCGUUUGGCUACGUUGAGUAUUCGAAUAGUCAUAGAUUUUUUGUAUUUGGAGUGAGGGGUAGAAGUGUGGUGUAGGAGCAUUGCUGCCAGUUCCAGGGGGGGUGGUUUGUCUGUGAAUUUCUCUAGCAUUUUGUGGAUGUUUUGCCAGUAUGGUUUGAUCUUUGCGCAUUCCCACCAUAUGUGUGUGAUACUGCCCUCCUCUUGUUGGCAUCGCCAGCAUAGGCCUGGUUGGUCUGGGUCUAUCUGGUGUAGGAAGUGAGGUGUCCUGUACCAUUGUGUCAGAAGUUUGUAGGCUGUCUCUUGUGUUUUGCUGUGCGUAGAGCAGUGGUGUGUGAGGUAACAUAUGGACUCCCAUUCCUUAU